rnacentral:rRNA from 1 species
CUGCUGCCUCCCGUAGGAGUUUGGGCCGUGUCUCAGUCCCAAUGUGGCCGGUCACCCUCUCAGGUCGGCUACUGAUCGUCGCUUUGGUGGGCCGUUACCCCGCCAACUGGCUAAUCAGACGCGGGCCCAUCCCAUACCACCGGAGUUUUUCACACCGGGCCAUGCGGCCCUGUGCGCUUAUGCGGUGUUAGCAGUCAUUUCUAACUGUUAUCCCCCUGUAUGGGGCAGGUUGCCCACGCGUUACUCACCCGUCCGCCACU